rnacentral:tRNA from 1 species
GCUCCAGUAGCUCAGUCGGAUAGAGCACCUGCCUUCUAAGCAGGUUGUCGGAGGUUCGAUUCCUCCCUGGGGCACAA